AGCGAACGCUGGCGGCAGGCCUAACACAUGCAAGUCGAACGAAGUCUUCGGACUUAGUGGCGGACGGGUGAGUAACACGUGGGAACGUGCCUUUAGGUUCGGAAUAACUCAGGGAAACUUGUGCUAAUACCGAAUGUGCCCCUCGGGGGAAAGAUUUAUCGCCUUUAGAGCGGCCCGCGUCUGAUUAGCUAGUUGGUGAGGUAAAGGCUCACCAAGGCGACGAUCAGUAGCUGGUCUGAGAGGAUGAUCAGCCACAUUGGGACUGAGACACGGCCCAAACUCCUACGGGAGGCAGCAGUGGGGAAUCUUGCGCAAUGGGCGAAAGCCUGACGCAGCCAUGCCGCGUGAAUGAUGAAGGUCUUAGGAUUGUAAAAUUCUUUCACCGGGGAAGAUAAUGACUGUAGCCGGAGAAGAAGCCCCGGCUAACUUCGUGCCAGCCGCCGCCGUAAUAC
rnacentral:rRNA from 1 species